rnacentral:tRNA from 1 species
UCCGGUAUAGUGUAAUGGCUAUCAUACCGCUCUCUCAUGUUACAUGAUCAGCGGUGAUCUGGGUUCAAUUCCCAGUGCCGGAA